AGUGAACGCUGGCGGUAGGCCUAACACAUGCAAGUCGAACGGCAGCACAGGAGAGCCUGCUCUCUGGGUGGCGAGUGGCGGACGGGUGAGGAAUACAUCGGAAUCUACUUUUUCGUGGGGGAUAACGUAGGGAAACUUACGCUAAUACCGCAUACGACCUACGGGUGAAAGCAGGGGAUCUUCGGACCUUGCUCGAUUGAAUGAGCCGAUGUCGGAUUAGCUAGUUGGCGGGGUAAAGGCCCACCAAGGCGACGAUCCGGAGCUGGUCUGGGAGGAUGAUCAGCCACACUGGAACUGAGACACGGUCCAGACUCCUACGGGAGGAAGCAGUGGGGAAUAUUGGACAAUGGGCGCAAGCCUGAUCCAGCCAUACCGCGUGGGUGAAGAAGGCCUUCGGGUUGUAAAGCCCUUUUGUUGGGAAAGAAAUCCAGCUGGCUAAUACCCGGUUGGGAUGACGGUACCCAAAGAAUAAGCACCGGCUAACUCCGUGCCAGCCGCCGCCGUAA
rnacentral:rRNA from 1 species